rnacentral:rRNA from 1 species
AACGAACGCUGGCGGCAUGCCUAACACAUGCAAGUCGAACGAGACCUUCGGGUCUAGUGGCGCACGGGUGCGUAACGCGUGGGAAUCUGCCCUUGGGUUCGGAAUAACAGUUGGAAACGACUGCUAAUACCGGAUGAUGACGUAAGUCCAAAGAUUUAUCGCCCAAGGAUGAGCCCGCGUAGGAUUAGCUAGUUGGUGAGGUAGGCUCACCAAGGCGACGAUCCUUAGCUGGUCUGAGAGGAUGAUCAGCCACACUGGGACUGAGACACGGCCCAGACUCCUACGGGAGGCAGCAGUGGGGAAUAUUGGACAAUGGGCGAAAGCCUGAUCCAGCAAUGCCGCGUGAGUGAUGAAGGCCUGAGGGUUGUAAAGCUCUUUUACCCGGGAUGAUAAUGACAGUACCGGGAGAAUAAGCUCCGGCUAACUCCGUG